ACCCCACAGCACCUGGGAGCUACCAGAGUGCAAGAGGACUGCUUGUGAUUUUGUGUUUACGAUCUCCCAGGGGGACCAGGGCGUUACUGUCUUUUUUGGAUAUGUGCCUGGUUAACUUCAGUUAGCCAGGACUCAGACACCACUUGGUGCCAGAGAGCCUACCGUAGUCUGCUAAGCCGGACGUACUGUUUAAAAGCAGAUGCCGCACCUCUCUUUUGAUUUGACGUAUACAGGCAUCAUAUACUAUUAACAAGCCGGCCAUUCCUCACAGAUUGCUACUCCCACAGGCGAACAGCCAUGACUUUUUUGAUUCUUCCUUUAUAGACACAGAGUACAGAUAAUUAGACUAGCUUAUGGUUUGAUUAGCAUGGCUCCUGCAAACCUUAAUUGGGCCUGUUCACGUCCUAAGUGGAGCUCGCUGUCCUGGUUAAUGAAUGCAUUAAGAGUCCAGCAUCUGUAUAGAUUACCAUAGCCAUAUGGCUGGCACAAUACGUAGUGGACAGUAAUCCAGAGUCAUGGUGCCGAGGGGGUUGCGCCAACUUCAAUGAAACAUCUGAUGUCAUCAUGGCUCAGUAUGGAGCUGUUUAUUUACUUAUCCAUGUACACAGGCUUGAAGGUUUGACCAUCAUUUACAUGAACAUUGAUUGAUACCAAUAAAGACAGAGAAAAGCAACAAAUCCAUCAGUGGUAGUAAGGCACAACCUGAAUCUGUAGUUUUUUUUAGAGCGAAAAGGGGCAAAAUUCCCCCAUUAACAACAGAGCUUGCUCCCUGCCUAGUCGGUUAGUGACUACCGAUGUUGCUGAGCUGUUUUCUCGGUUACAGACAGCUCCUCUGGCGUCAGCCUUCGGGGCAGUGUUUCUCAAAGCGAGACUCUGGAAUCCCUUUGGGUGGUUUGUGAGCUGGAACAAGGUUUUUUGGUCGUGUGCCUAUUUUUUUUUUUUUUUUUUUUUUUGCACAAACCAAAACUUUACCGAUAACAUGUUUUUUUGUUUUUGUUUUUUUUUUUUUUUUUCAGAACUGUUAUUCACAGUUGCACGCCUGUCUUCCAGCUUCAGGGACGUCCCAUGGGAAAUGUUUUGGGAAGUUCUGGGAAAGAAGUCCCUGGAGUAUAAAAGAAUCUCUAGAUGUUCAGAAUCAAUUCAAGGGCCAGAUAACUGCCUUGUGGAAACUGAACCGUUGUCUGGAAUUGGCAUAUUAGAACACAAUGGCUCUCCUACACUCAAAACGACACUUUUGCAGUGGAUAAAAUGGGGAAGAUGAGGAGAAAGGCACACACACACACACACACACACACACACACACACACACACGCACGCGCAGUCCCUCUGAUGGAAAUGCUUCGUACCUAGCAAGUAACAAAAAUGUCUCACCCCAAAGAAAUACUUCAUCAUGGCUCCCACCAGGAACAAAAUGGGCAGGAGGAUACAGAAGGAGAGAAAAGGAACAUGAAAACAUAGGCAAGGAAACACCUACGACUCCCCCUAUGAGACAUGGAGGCAGCUAUUUCUGACUACACGGAAGCAGAGAGCACACACAAAUCGGAAAGAAGCCUGAGGGGACUGUACAGCAGAUCAUGCACCAAAACUACGCAACCAAUCUGGGCCUUGUACUGAUCGCUUUCUUAAGAACGGCAUUUUCUUCUUUGAGGAUGGAUGAACCCAUGCUCAAAAACCUUUCUAACACAUCUUGAAAACAAGUUUUCCUCUUUUUUUUUUCUUCUUUUUCUCUUUUAAAUGUGGCACUUCAAAACAAGUUGGCACAAAAA